UACGUAGGGUGCAAGCGUUGUCCGGAAUUAUUGGGCGUAAAGAGCUCGUAGGCGGUUCGUCGCGUCGGCUGUGAAAUCCCGGAGCUCAACUCCGGGUCUGCAGUCGAUACGGGCGGACUCGAGUUCGGCAGGGGAGACUGGAAUUCCUGGUGUAGCGGUGAAAUGCGCAGAUAUCAGGAGGAACACCGAUGGCGAAGGCAGGUCUCUGGGCCACUACUGACGCUGAGAAGCGAAAGCAUGGGGAGCGAACAGG
rnacentral:rRNA from 1 species